UACAAGAUUUUAAAAAGGUUCAUUUUAAUUCAGGUAAAGCAUUUUUACAUCGAAAAACUAAAGCUUAUAAACUUUUAUAAUCUUAAGAAUUUUAAAGAUUCCAACUUUUAUGAAGCGUAUUUUAUUCCAGAAAGAGACAUAAUUACAACUGUAUAAUAAGGCUUAUUGUGUUUCGAGUCGAACAAAUGAAAGAUUUUAUUCAAGCCAUUGAAUAUCGAGGUAUGUCCUAAUCUUCAUGGUAUUGCGGUAUAUUUGCAAAACGAAAUCAAGUCGCUAAAGUAAGUCAGAAGAUAUUAGAAUACAGAAACCAAAAAGUGUAAAGUAAUGGAUGAAUAUAACCCUGCUCAAAAACAAUCGGGGUAUUCUGAAGUAAGGAUUGUGUAGAGUUUCCAAUUCGACACUGGAAAUUGACGAAGCGAUUCGAUUGCAUAGAAAAGAGAUGGAGUUAUUGUUAUCUAUUAGCAUUUGUAAUUUUCAUAUAAGAAACAAUAAUUGUAUGUAUUUUCAUCACAUUGCUGACAUGAACUCCUUCUCUCAGAUGAAUCAUAUAGUUAGAGAUAUCUAAGGAGCAGUUGAUCCUUCUACAGAUUCUUCCUGAAGAGCAGUUCUUUUUAACGGAAAAUAUCAUUGAAUCGAACAUCGUUCUUUUUCUUGGAGAUUUCUGUGUUACCGUGAGGUUUCCCUAGAAUCGAAAUUUCAUUUCUCUCUAAAUAAUCAAGAGAAAUAAGACAUAAUAUUCCACGUAACCUGGAACUUCAGCAAAAUGAUUUGCAGAAAAGACCUCUAUGACUUCAUAUUUUAUCGUUGUCUUUGAUUGUGAAUAAUUCAUAGUUAUCUUAAUAAAUGUCCACUUUUAAAUAAAAUGUUUUAUUUUUAAUUAUAUAAUUUACCUUUUUCAUUUAUUUGAGCACUGAUAUGUUUCGACUAUAUUUGAAG